CACCCUAAGAGCUGUGCCUGUGUGUGUGGGAGGAGGAGCAUCUCAGGGAAACACAGCGUGGAGAUCCAAGAUGGUGUCGUUGACAGAUUGAGUCAGUAAACUGUGAAUGUGACUUAUGCGGCAAUGCAGCAUCAGAUUGAUCUGGGCUGGGGCCGACUGCUGCAGCCAGAGUUAAGCCGGGCUGAAUAUCUUCUUGUAUUGGGUCAAGAAGACAUCACUCAACCUCCCAUCUGCCUUCAUCGUAUACAUCCGCGGAGCAAAAGACAACAUCAGGCGGUCAUCUGAGCCACUGAAUUUCAUCUGAGCCAGGUUGUGGAUGAAGAAGUUUAGUUUGGUGGCCACAGAUCCCAGGCUAGACUCAAUAAGCCUGCAACAUUGUUUCAGAGAAUAAAAAAGCCAAUCAGCUAGUGGUCUGUCCUUGAAGGAACCAGUCACUCCGUGCUCCACCUGGAUCUUUCGCAAAGUCUCGGCUGUAGGGAUCAUCUCUACCAUUCCUGCAAAACACAGUUGACUCGUGUACAGACAACACAGAUGAGGGGAAGAAAUGUUCUCUGUAUUUAUCGAACUUGGUGCCUGAAACAACAAGUUUCUGCUGACUGGUAAAGGAACAAAUUCAGUAUGGAUAUAUGUAUUUAUUUUUCUUUUAUGACACAAAGAUCAAGGGUUCAUUUUAAAGCUAAACAGAGCACCAUCAUAUUCUGCAGUGCUAUAAAAAGAAACAUAAAUAACACCCAUGUGAAUCAGAUGUAGGAUAAUGUAGAUAUAGUAAUAUCCAGAGGUGUACAAUAUCCCAGAAAAAUUAUACAGACAAAGGAUACCAGUAAACUUUUAUGGACUGAGGAAGGUGGGAGAGUAGGGGCAGUUAAACAACUAUUAAAUACAGUAGAACCGCAUGAUCAACACAUGGAUAAUAAAAAGACAAUGCAACACUUUCAAAUGAGUAGUAGACUUUUUCUGAGAUUUCAAAUUUAAUUCAAUUUCCCUGCCCCUUGUAUCAUGUGACAGCCAUUAGCAAAUCUCAACACACAUAUACAUAUAUAUUGUACAUGUUCUAGUAGCUGGUGCCCCUGAAAGAGUACAUAUUAAAACACUGUGCACAUUUUUGUAAUGGAAGUAAAUUAGAUUUUUAUUUAAAUUGCACAAUCUGAAUUAAUAAGGUUUAAUUUUAAUUUUAGUGCGGAACAGAGGGCAGAAGUAUACAGAUAUGCAAAAAUACUGAGAAAUACUAGAUGCCUGUUGACUGAGGCAAAUAACCAAACAUUGCCUUUGUUGAUAUUGAAAUAUCCCAGAAUUAUUGGUUUGGAAUGACAUGGAACAUACCAUAUAAAAUUAUUGAUGGAUUACUGUAAGAAUAUUAAAGCAACAUGGAAGUUUGAAAAACGUGAAAAAUUUAACUUUCAUGAUUCUGACAGGGGAACAAUUAAAACAACUAUAUCUGGUUUA